rnacentral:rRNA from 1 species
GACGAACGCUGGCGGCGUGCUUAACACAUGCAAGUCGAACGGGGCGAAGUGAUAGCUUGCUAUUAUGGAGCCUAGUGGCAAACGGGUGAGUAACGCGUAGGCAACCUGCCCUUCAGAUGGGGACAACACCUCGAAAGGGGUGCUAAUACCGAAUGACGUUUCCUAGUCGCAUGACCUGGAACCAAAGGCCGGGCAACCGGUCACUGAAGGAUGGGCCUGCGUCUGAUUAGCUAGUUGGUGGGGUAACGGCUCACCAAGGCGACGAUCAGUAGCCGGUCUGAGAGGAUGAACGGCCACAUUGGGACUGAGACACGGCCCAAACUCCUACGGGAGCAGCAGUGAGGAAUAUUGGUCAAUGGGCGAGAGCCUGAACCAGCCAAGUAGCGUGAAGGAAGACUGCCCUA